rnacentral:rRNA from 1 species
UGGGGAAUAUUGGGGCAAUGGGGCGCAAGCCUGACCCAGCAACGCCGCGUGAAGGAUGAAGGCUUUCGGGUUGUAAACUUCUUUUCUCGGGGACGAAAGAAAUGACGGUACCUGAGGAAUAAGCCACGGCUAACUACGUGCCAGCAGCCGCGGUAAUACGUAGGUGGCGAGCGUUAUCCGGAUUUACUGGGUGUAAAGGGCGUGUAGGCGGGAAGGCAAGUCAGAUGUGAAAACUAUGGGCUCAACCCAUAGCCUGCAUUUGAAACUGUUUUCUUGAGUGCUGGAGAGGCAAUCGGAAUUCCGUGUGUAGCGGUGAAAUGCGUAGAUAUACGGAGGAACACCAGUGGCGAAGGCGGAUUGCUGGACAGUAACUGACGCUGAGGCGCGAAAGCGUGGGGAGCAAACAGGAUUAGAUACCCU